GUAGGUGGCAAGCGUUGUCCGGAAUUAUUGGGCGUAAAGCGCGCGCAGGCGGUUCUUUAAGUCUGAUGUGAAAGCCCACGGGCUCAACCGUGGAGGUUCAUUGGAAACUGGAGAACUUGAGUACAGAAGAGGAAAGCGGAAUUCCACGUGUAGCGGUGAAAUGCGUAGAGAUGUGGAGGAACACCAGUGGCGAAGGCGGCUUUCUGGUCUGUAACUGACGCUGAGGCGCGAAAGCGUGGGGAGCAAACAGGAUUAGAUACCCUGGUAGUCCACGCCGUAAACGAUGAGUGCUAGUGUUAGGGGGUUUCCGCCCCUUAGUGCUGCAGCUAACGCAUUAAGCACUCCGCCUGGGGAGUACGGCCGCAAGGCUG
rnacentral:rRNA from 1 species